rnacentral:rRNA from 1 species
CAGGGCUUGACAUCCCGGCGACCGGCCUAGAGAUAGGCCUUCCCUUCGGGGCGCCGGAGACAGGUGGUGCAUGGUUGUCGUCAGCUCGUGUCGUGAGAUGUUGGGUUAAGUCCCGCAACGAGCGCAACCCCUAUUGUUAGUUGCUACGCAAGAGCACUCUAGCGAGACUGCCGUUGACAAAACGGAGGAAGGUGGGGACGACGUCAAAUCAUCAUGCCCCUUAUGUCCUGGGCUACACACGUAAUACAAUGGCGGUCAACAGAGGGAGGCAAAGCCGUGAGGCGGAGCGAACCCCUAAAAGCCGUCCCAGUUCGGAUCGCAGGCUGCAACCCGCCUGCGUGAAGUCGGAAUCGCUAGUAAUCGCGGAUCAGCAUGCCGCGGUGAAUACGUUCCC